rnacentral:rRNA from 1 species
GACGAACCGUGCGACCGUUGUUCGGAAUCACUGGGCUUAAAGGGCGCGUAGGCGGGCCAGCCAGUCUGUGGUGAAAGCCUCCAGCUUAACUGGAGAAGUGCCGUGGAUACUGCUGGCCUCGAGGAGGAUAGGGGCAUCUGGAACGGUCGGUGGAGCGGUGAAAUGCGUUGAUAUCGACCGGAACUCCGGUGGCGAAGGCGAGGUGCUGGGUCCUUUCUGACGCUGAUGCGCGAAAGCCAGGGGAGCAAACGGG